UGGGGAAUUUUGGACAAUGGGGGAAACCCUGAUCCAGCCAUCCCGCGUGUGCGAUGAAGGCCUUCGGGUUGUAAAGCACUUUUGGCAGGAAAGAAACGUCGCGGGUUAAUACCCCGCGAAACUGACGGUACCUGCAGAAUAAGCACCGGCUAACUACGUGCCAGCAGCCGCGGUAAUACGUAGGGUGCAAGCGUUAAUCGGAAUUACUGGGCGUAAAGCGUGCGCAGGCGGUUCGGAAAGAAAGAUGUGAAAUCCCAGAGCUUAACUUUGGAACUGCAUUUUUAACUACCGGGCUAGAGUGUGUCAGAGGGAGGUGGAAUUCCGCGUGUAGCAGUGAGAUGCGUAGAUAUGUGGAGGAACACCGAUGGCGAAGGCAGCCUCCUGGGAUAACACUGACGCUCAUGCACGAAAGCGUGGGGAGCAAACAGGAUUAGAUACCCUGGUAGUCCACGCCCUAAACGAUGUCAACUAGCUGUUGGGGGCCUUCGGGCCUUGGUAGCGCAGCUAACGCGUGAAGUUGACCGCCUGGGGAGUACGGUCGCAAGAUUAAAACUCAAAGGAAUUGACGGGGGUCGAUAGC
rnacentral:rRNA from 1 species